rnacentral:rRNA from 1 species
UGGGGAAUUUUGGACAAUGGGCGAAAGCCUGAUCCAGCAAUGCCGCGUGUGUGAAGAAGGCCUUCGGGUUGUAAAGCACUUUUGUCCGGAAAGAAAUCCUUGGCUCUAAUACAGUCGGGGGAUGACGGUACCGGAAGAAUAAGCACCGGCUAACUACGUGCCAGCAGCCGCGGUAAUACGUAGGGUGCAAGCGUUAAUCGGAAUUACUGGGCGUAAAGCGUGCGCAGGCGGUUUGCUAAGACCGAUGUGAAAUCCCCGGGCUCAACCUGGGAACUGCAUUGGUGACUGGCAGGCUAGAGUAUGGCAGAGGGGGGUAGAAUUCCACGUGUAGCAGUGAAAUGCGUAGAGAUGUGGAGGAAUACCGAUGGCGAAGGCAGCCCCCUGGGCCAAUACUGACGCUCAUGCACGAAAGCGUGGGGAGCAAACAGGAUUAGAUACCCUGGUAGUCCACGCCCUAAACGAUGUCAACUAGUUGUUGGGGAUUCAUUUCCUUAGUAACGUAGCUAACGCGUGAAGUUGACCGCCUGGGGAGUACGGUCGCAAGAUUAAAACUUAAAGGAAUUGACGGGGUC